rnacentral:rRNA from 1 species
UGGGGAAUAUUGCACAAUGGGCGCAAGCCUGAUGCAGCCAUGCCGCGUGUAUGAAGAAGGCCUUCGGGUUGUAAAGUACUUUCAGCGAGGAGGAAGGCGUUGUGGUUAAUAACCGCAGCGAUUGACGUUACUCGCAGAAGAAGCACCGGCUAACUCCGUGCCAGCAGCCGCGGUAAUACGGAGGGUGCAAGCGUUAAUCGGAAUUACUGGGCGUAAAGCGCACGCAGGCGGUCUGUCAAGUCGGAUGUGAAAUCCCUGGGCUCAACCUGGGAACUGCAUCCGAAACUGGCAGGCUAGAGUCUUGUAGAGGGGGGUAGAAUUCCAGGUGUAGCGGUGAAAUGCGUAGAGAUCUGGAGGAAUACCGGUGGCGAAGGCGGCCCCCUGGACAAAGACUGACGCUCAGGUGCGAAAGCGUGGGGAGCAAACA